GCCGGGCGUGGUGGCGUGUGCCUGUAAUCCCACCUACUUGGGAGGCUGAGGCAGGAGAAUUGCUUGAACCCAGAGAGUAGAGGUUGCAGUGAGCCAAGAUCAUGCCACUGCACUCCAGCCUGGGUGACAGAGCGAGACUCUGUCUCAA
rnacentral:SRP_RNA from 1 species